ensembl:lncRNA
UCAUGACCAUUUUACAGUUUCAGCUGGUUAAAACCAGUUGUGGUGAAACAAAGCAAGUACAGCUAUAAGAGGAGAAUUUUUUUCUGCUUUACAAGGUAGAAGCUUGGGGAGUAGGGGAGGUUGUGAUGGAAAUCUGCUGCUAGGGGUGGGAGCCUGAGAGCACUGGGCUCGUGGCCCCCUUCCGCAUCCAUGACUGGGGAAAGGCUGCAAGCCUUGAGCAGAAGCUGGCUUUGCAUUGGCACUUUGUCCAACGUGGCUCGGGAACUGUAGAAGCUUGACCUUGGGGAUGACCAUGGUCUGAGGCAGAACCUCUAGCUCCCUGCAGCCUGGUGUAUGUGGACAGGGAACGAUUGCGUCAGUGUCCCAAAAGGCCACAAGGGACCAGUCAUGCCCCAGCAGACUCCGGAUCAGCGCUGGGCCAGGCCAGCCACUGCAAAGAAUAGGGCCCCCCGUAUGGGCCACUGGCCCUCCUUCCCACCACUAUGAGCCAUUUUGGGGAGAGAAAACAAAUAGAAUUCUCUCUCUCUUAAAAAAAAGGAAUCACCAAAGACACUGUCUAAAAGGGAAGAGACUGAGAUAUUAUUAAUUGGCAAGUUUGUCUUUUUCCCUUACUCCUCAGUGGGGUGUGAGCUUGGAGGAAGAAUGGUUAUAGGAAAUAAACAAGCUACAUUUUCCUUAAAAAACUGAGUGGUAAUGUGAAAAUUUGCCAUCUGCUAUAUACAUAUAGUUUAAUAUUUAUACGAAAACAUUUAAACUUAAUGUUUAAUAAUUUGGAAGAGAACAAACCGUUGAACUCCACUUGUGUCUGUCACAUAUCACAUUCCAGCCUUCUGUCUAAUCCCCUUAUAUGGCUAUAAAACUGCAAACAAGCCUUGAUUCCUCAGUCACCUAUAGAGGCUCCCCUUUCAGCCUUAACUCCAGCUUCAGGCUGCUCAGGAUCAAAGCCUCUGCUGGCUUUUUUCCCCCUAGAAAUCUUCUUUCUCUUUGGUCUCUUCCUCUGAGCAACCAAGAAGAAGAGCAACAGCCUGCAUCCACGUCUUCACUCAAAUCAGAAUAUUUUCUUCCCAAGAGGAAAUAUGCAAAAUACUCUUCUGCUUGAAAAGAAUAAUAGGUUAAGAUCAAAGUUAAGUUCACUGCUAGUGUGUAGAAUAGCAACCCUGUUGGCCAGAGUUUGAAGUGGCGUUACUAUGUGGCGGAUGUACAUGAAGUCUAAAGGAACAAGGGUAGUGGUGCACUGUGACCACGAACAACACGGAGCAACGGCAUCUGAAAGGCAGACAACGACAACAGCCCACAGAUGGUGCCAGUCAUCCCGAUAACGUACACCCGUUAAUUCUGUGAGUCAGGAUCCAGCCGCACUUGCUUUGUGCAACAGGAGGAGAGGCAGAAAGAUUAUUUAAAGAAACAGUGAAUAGAAGGCUCCAGUUUGCUCUUAGUUCCUGGUCGACUUUGAUGAGGACGGCAUAAGCAGCAGGAAUGCGGUCUCGAAGGCCUGAGGCCGCAUUUCCCCUCAUUUCCGCGAGGAUCAACCCUGAGAAGUGGAAGCUCUUCACAGUCAGAGGCAUCUGGCAGGAGCAGAGGGACUCAGGCGAACCAAGAUUUCUGUUUGGAUACCGAUUAAUUCAGUCUCCCCGUCCCCAGAUUCCAGUGUCAAUACCUCCUGCCACUUUCUGAAUCCUGAGAGGAGGACUUACUUUUGGAAUCAGAAAAAAAAAAAUCACUGCUUAAAGGCUUCUCUUUUUUGAACCGUGUUUAGUUGGAUCAGUUAUAAUCUCUUAUUUCCCAU